CCCCGCAAUUCCUUUAAGUUUCAGCCUUGCGGCCGUACUUCCCAGGUGGCUCGCUUCACGGCUUCCCUACGGCACCGACAACGGUCGCACCGUGGCCGACACCUAGCGAGUAUCGUUUACGGCUAGGACUACCCGGGUAUCUAAUCCGGUUCGUGCCCCUAGCUUUCGUCCCUUGCCGUCAGGUCCGUUCUGGUGAGACGCCUUCGCCACUGGUGGUCCUUCAAGGAUUACAAGAUUUCACCCCUACCCCUGAAGUACCUCUCACCUCUCCCGGCCUCGAGCCGAACAGUAUCUCCUGAAAGCCCAACAGUUGAGCUGCUGGAUUUCUCAAGAGACUUAUCCGGCCGGCUACAGACCCUUUAGACCCAAUAAUAACGGUUACCACUCGAGCCGCCGGUGUUACCGCGGCGGCUGGCACCGGUCUUGCCCGGCCCUUGCUAUGCAAUGCUUUUUACGCAUCACGACAGCCAGAUUUGUAACCUGGCACUCGAGGUCCCCUUAUCGCCGUUGCCGGCAUUGUAAAGUUUU
rnacentral:rRNA from 1 species